rnacentral:rRNA from 1 species
CAUGUCUUUUUGAUUAUAAUUUAAAGUUUAAUCUGCUCAAUGAUUAUUUAAAUUGCCGCAGUAUUUUAACUGUGCGAAGGUAGCAUAAUAAUUAGCUUUUUUAUUGGAAGCUGGAAUGAAUGAUUGGACGAAAAAUAUUCUGUCUCUAUUUAAUUUUUUGAUGAAUUUAAUUUUUAAGUUAAAAAGCUUAAAUUUAAAUUAAAGACGAGAAGACCCUAUAGAGUUUUAUUAUUAUAUUGAUUUGAUUUUUUUGGAAUUUAAAUUUAAAUUGUUUUAAUAAUUUGGUUGGGGUGACUUAAAGAUUUAAUUAACUCUUUUAAUUUACAAUCAUUGAUUUAUGAAUAUUUAAUCUUAUAUAUAAAAUUUAAAUUAAUUACCUUAGGGAUAACAGCGUAAUUUUCUUUAGAGUUCUUAUCGAAAAUGGAAGUUUGCGACCUCGAUGUUGGAUUAAAAUUUAUUAAAGGUGUAGAAGCUUUUUAAUUAAGUCUGUUCGACUUUUAAAAUUUUACAUGAUCUGAGU